rnacentral:rRNA from 1 species
AACGCGAAGAACCUUACCCACCUUUGACAUGUAUGGAAGAUCGCAGAGACGGGAUUGUGCUCGAAAGAGAGCCAUAACACAGGUGCUGCAUGGCUGUCGUCAGCUCGUGUCGAUGAGAUGUUGGGUUAAGUCCCGCAACGAGCGCAUCCCUUGUCAUUAGUUGCUACAUUUAGUUGGGCACUCUAAUGAGACUGCCGGUGACAAACCGGAGGAAGGUGGGGAUGACGUCAAGUCCUCAUGGCCCUUAUAGGUGGGGCUACACACGUCAUACAAUGGCUGGUACAAAGGGUUGCCAACCCGCGAGGGGGAGCUAAUCCCAUAAAGCCAGUCGUAGUCCGGAUGGUAGUCUGCAACUCGACUACGUGAAGUCGGAAUCUCUAGUAAUCGGGGAUCAGAAUGUCGCGGUAAAUACUUUCCCGGGUCUUGUACACACCG